CUGGCCCGAGUUGGCCCACAUAUGUAAUAUAUACACUGACCCCUUUUGUAUUAAGGGUCAGUCGGAUAUUUUCAUUUUGAAGAGUUCUUUCUCUUUCUCUGAAACUCUCUCUAGAAUGUUCUACCUAACCGACUCAUCUUCAUCUUCUUCUUCAAUCUUCGUCUCGAUUCCUUGAUGUUUUCAAUUUUCUCAACAAAGUAUAAAGCCUGGAUGAUCUUACAGGUUCGUCCCCUGUUAUUGUUGAAGAGAAGUUCAGAAAGUAAAUACACACACAAAAAAAAUGUUUAUUAUUAUAAAACAAUUUUGCAGAAAAUUGAACUGCUUGGCAUCAUAUGCAUUAAAUACUUAUACAGGAUAGUACACAAUAUCAGACGCUUGAUUAGUACUUAAUAUUGUCCCAUUUAAAAUUCCUCUAAAAAGAAAGAAAUUAAUCUUGUGAAUUACUUGCACAUUUACUAAAAUAUUGGCCUUUUUUUCUUUUUACGCAACAAGUUUGGAUAUAAUUCGAAUGGUGUUGCCUAAUAUCAGCAUAGGCAAAACAUUCAAUAAUUACUUGUUAUUUGUGUAAGCGUUGAUGGACAGACAUUUAAAUAUGUAUGCUAGUGGAAGUUAGUACCGGUAAUUUAUAAAAUUAGCUGAAGUAGGCACAAAUCAAUUCAAACAGUGCCAUUAUUUUGAAAAAAAUCAAUAGAGGGUGAAGGGAAAUAAUUUCCAAAAGAAGUGGAAGGAGAAGAAAUGAGCAAGAGACAUGACUGACAUAGCAUUGGCCAUUGGGGAGCCUAAAAGGAAAAUGACACAAGUCACAACCUUUUCUAUAUAUAUUUUGUUAAAUAGUUGGAACAAGAGCAGAGAUCAUCAAUAGUCCAACUAAAACACAAGUCAAGAAAUUGAAUACAAGAAAAUUGAUUGGUUAUGGAACUGCAAAAAAGAAAAAAGAGAAAAAGAUGAUGAUCUAAAUGGCCCAUACUGCUACUUUGCCUAAGGCUUCCAUAGCCACCAUUUAUGCAGUAGACAGUGAGCAGAGAGCAGAGAGCCACUGCAAUUUUUGCAGAAUGAAUACUUAUCCAUUUACAAUUAAAAAGGAAUGGCCUCUGUGUGAUAUGGAUUGGAAUUGUAAAGUGGGACAAAUGGACAAGGACAACCUCCCCAUGUAUUUGGAUAACUUGCCACUAAUGGAGUUGUCAAUGGACUUAUCAUCUUAUUUCUUUUUUCACCUUUACCCCUCAAAUAUCUUGCCUUUUCAUUUUUUUUAAACUUCCCAUCCGCGAUUGGAAGUUGGAACCCUCGACUAAUCCGGACUAGCCUCACCUAAGGUUCAUUUAAACGC
rnacentral:lncRNA from 1 species